GACGAACGCUGGCGGCGUGCUUAACACAUGCAAGUCGAACGGAAAGGCCCUGCUUUUGUGGGGUGCUCGAGUGGCGAACGGGUGAGUAACACGUGAGUAACCUGCCCUUGACUUUGGGAUAACUUCAGGAAACUGGGGCUAAUACCGGAUAGGAGCUCCUGCUGCAUGGUGGGGGUUGGAAAGUUUCGGCGGUUGGGGAUGGACUCGCGGCUUAUCAGCUUGUUGGUGGGGUAGUGGCUUACCAAGGCUUUGACGGGUAGCCGGCCUGAGAGGGUGACCGGCCUCAUUGGGACUGAGAUACGGCCCAGACUCCUACGGGAGGCAGCAGUGGGGAAUAUGGCACAAUGGGCGGAAGCCUGAUGCAGCAACGCCGCGUGCGGGAUGAUGGCCUUCGGGGUGUAAACCGCUUUCGCCUGUGACGAAGCGUGAGUGACGGUAAUGGGUAAAGAAGCACAGGCUAACUACGUG
rnacentral:rRNA from 1 species